rnacentral:rRNA from 2 species
CUUUCCGUUCUGGGGAGCCUCAUGCCCUUCGCUGGGUGUGCUGGGGAACCAGGACUUUUACCUUGAAAAAAUUAGAGUGUUUAAAGCAGGCAUUUUGCUUGAAUACAUUAGCAUGGAAUAAUAAAAUAGGACGGAUGGUUCUAUUUUGUUGGUUUCUAGGAUCACCGUAAUGAUUAAUAGGGAUAGUUGGGGGCAUUAGUAUUCAAUUGUCAGAGGUGAAAUUCUUGGAUUUAUUGAAGACUAACUACUGCGAAAGCAUUUGCCAAGGAUGUCUUCAUUAAUCAAGAACGAAAGUUAGGGGAUCGAAGACGAUCAGAUACCGUCGCAGUCUUAACCAUAAACUAUGCCGACUAGGAAUCAGACGAUGUUAAUUUUUUAAUGACUCGUUCGGCGCCUUACGGGAAAC